rnacentral:hammerhead_ribozyme from 1 species
AUCUAGCAGAAUAGUUCCAAGUAGGACGAAACGCGCGUCAAACUGGAU